GGCUACAUGCUUUGCGUUGUUUGAAGCCAGGUUUUAGCAAUGGUGUCAACCUCCAUUGAGCCGUUGCCGACCUCCACCGAGCAGUCGCUGCUUCUCCUAGGGCCCCUGUCUCGGUCCUCUCCAACAAGGGUAUAUAUCAAGAAGGUUGUUGGUGAAAGGGGCGAGUUCUGUAGACGAGUGCACCAUGGGAUGAAGGAGGUGAGAACCAGGGGCCUUUUGGCAAUGGCAUAUGUAUAUCUCAGUUGGAUGCUCUUAAGCAUGUAUUCGUGAGUAGAGUGAUGGAUGUCAAGGACUUUCCUGUAUGGAUUCGGCUUUCGUAUGUCUGUGCUUCUAAUGGUCUGGUACUCAUGGACGAGUUGUUGCAACUGUAUCACUGCGGUUGAAAUUGUUGAUCUUAGUCGGAACCAGUUUGCAAAUGUGGAUAAUCUAUGGAAAUGUACAAAGAUGCAAAAUCUGGACCUUGGAUUAAUCAUUUGCAUUCUGUUUCAUCCCUGAGUGAGGAUUUCUGAUGAAGGGUUGUGUUAGUUGAGGAUCCUUUAUUUUGUUGUUCAGGUGUGCCUUCGAGUCCAUCAGGUGUGCCCAGCAGAUGCUUGUAAAAGCAGGAGGGGAAACACUGGUCACUGGAGCUGCCACUGAACCUCCAUUGUUAGGUAAAUCUUGUGGCGAGCAGCGGAUGGUCGGAUAGCUGUGGCUGAUGGUGUGGAUGGCGUAGCGGAGGAUUAGAUGGGGUGGAGGGCAUGGAGGGAGGUGUAGCACAUCAAGGAGGGGUAGGGACAUAGGUCAAGAGGAAGAGACUGGACUGUUAGCGCAAAUCGGGAUGGGAUGAACGGUAUUAGCUGAAAAUAGUGGUGGAAAUUAUUUAUGCACGGGAAACAUUUGUAACAGUUCCUGUUUCCUGUGGUAUCGGUUAA